CCUACGGGGGGCAGCAGUGGGGAAUAUUGCGCAAUGGGCGAAAGCCUGACGCAGCGACGCCGCGUGAGGGAUGAAGGUCUUCGGAUUGUAAACUUCUGUCAGCAGGGAAGAACGGUCACUGUGCUAAUCAGUAGUGAAUUGACGGUACCUGCAAAGGAAGCACCGGCUAACUCCGUGCCAGCAGCCGCGGUAAUACGGAGGGUGCGAGCGUUAAUCGGAAUUACGGGGCGUAAAGCGCUCGUAGGCGGUAUGUCAAGUCAAGGGUGAAAUCCCCGGGCUCAACGUGGGAACUACCUUUGAAACUGGCAAACUCGAGUGUGUGAGAGGAUAGUGGAAUUGCAGGGGUAGGAGUGAAAUCCGUAGAUAUCUGGAGGAACAUCAGUGGCGAAGGCGACUAUCUGGCACAUAACUGACGCUGAGGAGCGAAAGCGUGGGUAGCAAACAGGAUUAGAUACCCUUGUAGUC
rnacentral:rRNA from 1 species